rnacentral:rRNA from 1 species
UGGGGAAUAUUGGACAAUGGGCGAAAGCCUGAUCCAGCCAUGCCGCGUGUGUGAAGAAGGUCUUCGGAUUGUAAAGCACUUUAAGUUGGGAGGAAGGGCAGUAAGCGAAUACCUUGCUGUUUUGACGUUACCGACAGAAUAAGCACCGGCUAACUCUGUGCCAGCAGCCGCGGUAAUACAGAGGGUGCAAGCGUUAAUCGGAAUUACUGGGCGUAAAGCGCGCGUAGGUGGUUCGGUAAGUUGAAUGUGAAAGCCCCGGGCUCAACCUGGGAACUGCAUCCAAAACUGGCGAGCUAGAGUAGGGCAGAGGGUGGUGGAAUUUCCUGUGUAGCGGUGAAAUGCGUAGAGAUCUGGAGGAAUACCGAUGGCGAAGGCAGCCAUCUGGCCUAACACUGACGCUGAGGUACGAAAGCAUGGGGAGCAAACAGG